AUCCUUCGCUACAGAUCAAGAACAUGCGAUUCAGAUUAGGUUAACAUAAUAACUGAAGCCAUGAGCGUUAGCAGCCACCGGAUCCAAGAUCUGCGGCAAAGAUUCACCCACACCCGUGCCCACGCAUAGCCCUCCGAUUCAAAAUUGAUGGCCAACACUUUAUGCGAUGAAGGGGUAAUCUAUCUUCUAAUCGUAGCCACACACACACGAAUCGACGGUCGGGCGCCACUUUUCCCCAACCAAACGGCGGAGCCCGGCGGUGACCGAGCCACCACGGCGGCGGCUAUGGCGGAGAUGGUUAAGCCGGCGCACCACGAUCUUUACUCAAAAUAAAAUGGUGCUACGCGUGCAAGACGACGAGGCAAACUUCAUGGGUGCGGAACUCACCGAGGAAGAAGACGCGCCCGGGUUGGCGCAAUUGCCCCAGCGCCAGGCAUGAGGGUCAGUCUGCCCGCGGGCCCGCGAUGUCAGUGACAAGCCGCGCCAGGGAGAUGGGCCGAGGGGUGGAGUUUUGGCCCAACAAACGUGCUACACCUUUCUUUUUGUUUUCCUUUUUCUUUUCUCUUUUCUUUUCUUUUCAUUUUUGAAUCUUAAAUUUAAAUCCCAAUUUGAUUGUAACUUUUGGACUUGAAUUAUAUGUACCAAUCCAAGAUGUUUAUAUGGAAAGACA
rnacentral:lncRNA from 7 species